CCAAGCUGCUGGAGCUGACGUUUCACUUCAACGUCUCAGGAAACCAGACCAAGACAGGGGAGGGAGGAGUCCCACGGCGGAGAGGGCACCCGGCUUGGCCCUCUUGUCGAAGGUCACUGGGAUCUUGGGCAGGGGGCAAGCAGGCGGAAGGAGGAGCAAAGGGAGUUAGGAGGCCCUCGCGUGUUCAACUCGCCCUCGCCGCCCUCCCGUUGGAAGGCAGGCAGGCCCUGGAAUCCCCCAGGGGGCGGACCAAGCAUGCUCUGCACGGCAUCUUCACGGGAAGGAAGAGGCCCUCUCAAGGCCCGGCCGAGAGCCUAAGACAAGGAGACGGAGAACAUCCUCGGGAAUUAACGCUUGGUCAGAAAAUACCUGCCUGUGGAGAAGUUUGACCGCGGGAUUACCGCAGCCUGCAGUGCCAGCAUCCCAUAUGGGCACCAGUUCGAGUCCCGGCUGCUCCACUUCCGAUCCAGCGCUCUGCUAUGGCCUGGGAAAGCAGUGGAAGAUGGCCCAAGUGCUUGGGCCCCUGCACCCGCGUGGGAGACCACUACUGGCUCCUGGCUCCUGGCUUCAGCUCAGCUCUGAAUCUGGAGCGUGAGCCAGCAGAGGGGAGACACCCCCCCAAACACACACACCUGUGUAACUCUUUGAAAUAAAUAAAUUUUUCUUAAUUGUA